AGAAUGUCUAGUAUAAGCAAUUAUACCGUGAAACUGCGAAUGGCUCAUUAAAUCAGUUAUCGUUUAUUUGAUAAUACCUUACUACUUGGAUAACCGUGGUAAUUCUAGAGCUAAUACAUGCUGAAAAUCCCGACUUCGGAAGGGAUGUGUUUAUUAGAUAAAAAACCAAUGCCCUUCGGGGCUUUUUGGUGAUUCAUGAUAACUUUACGGAUCGCAUAGCCUUGCGCUGGCGACGGUUCAUUCAAAUUUCUGCCCUAUCAACUUUCGAUGGUAAGGUAUUGGCUUACCAUGGUUUCAACGGGUAACGGGGAAUUAGGGUUCGAUUCCGGAGAGGGAGCCUGAGAAACGGCUACCACAUCCAAGGAAGGCAGCAGGCGCGCAAAUUACCCAAUCCCGACACGGGGAGGUAGUGACAAUAAAUACUGAUACAGGGCUCUUUUGGGUCUUGUAAUUGGAAUGAGUACAAUUUAAACCUCUUAACGAGGAACAAUUGGAGGGCAAGUCUGGUGCCAGCAGCCGCGGUAAUUCCAGCUCCAAUAGCGUAUAUUAAAGUUGUUGCAGUUAAAAAGCUCGUAGUUGAAACUUGGGCCUGGCUGGCGGGUCCGCCUCACCGCGUGCACUCGUCCGGCCGGGCCUUCCUUCUGAAGAACCUCAUGCCCUUCACUGGGCGUGCUGGGGAAUCAGGACUUUUACUUUGAAAAAAUUAGAGUGUUCAAAGCAGGCCUUUGCUCGAAUACGUUAGCAUGGAAUAAUAAAAUAGGGCGUGCGUUUCUAUUUUGUUGGUUUCUAGAGACGCCGCAAUGAUUAACAGGAACAGUCGGGGGCAUCAGUAUUCAGUUGUCAGAGGUGAAAUUCUUGGAUUUACUGAAGACUAACUACUGCGAAAGCAUUUGCCAAGGAUGUUUUCAUUAAUCAGUGAACGAAAGUUAGGGGAUCGAAGACGAUCAGAUACCGUCGUAGUCUUAACCGUAAACUAUGCCGACUAGGGAUCGGGCGAUGUUCUUUUUCUGACUCGCUCGGCACCUUACGAGAAAUCAAAGUUUUUGGGUUCUGGGGGAUAGUCCCC
rnacentral:rRNA from 1 species